rnacentral:lncRNA from 1 species
CCGAGCUCUGGAACAUCUGUCUCCCCAUCCCUUUGCUUAAAUACUGCUGCUGUAAUCCCUGCUGUUCUCAAGUUUUAGUUGCUUCACUUGGUGUCUUAGCGGUUCGUGUUUGUAAGUCUAAGCUCCUCUUCCGAGCCACCAACUCGAUCUGCCCUAGUCUUCCCAUCUCCUACUUAAGUCAAGGUCCAGUAGGCCGUGCAGUCCUAGAGCUCGAGUGAUCUCCUUGGCUCUUGUAGCCUAUGUUUCCCCGGAGUUAAUCCCCUCCCAAUAUCUUAGUCCAUCUGCCCAGAGCUUGGUGUACCAGUCCCUAGGUGGUGACCAUCGUUGACAGUUAGUCCACCUCGCCGUGACCAGGUAACUUCAAUGGUUUCCUCAGUCGAGUUGUGCAUAUUUUGUGCUCUGCAUAAGAUAGAGAAGCUCAUAUGAUGGUAAACCAUUCUCCUUAAGUAGGUUUGGUUUGGGGGUGUAUGGAAAAUAGCGUGAAAGCUGCCCAAAAAUGGACUGUGAGUUUGCACUGACUGAAUUUUUGUUCAGAUUAGCUGAAAACUGGAUUGCAGCAGAUUGCUCAGUUUGGAGCUCUCCUAUGACCAGUUCAUGAGGUUUUGGGUUACCAGUUGUAUAGAAAAGUCAAAGACCAGAUGAAGGUGAACAAGCUUCAUCAGAGGAGUGGGGCUUACUACUGUGUAAAAUAUGGAGAAAUAUGUGCUGCAAUUUUCUAUGUCAGGUGUUGUGUUCAGGUCUUUUUCAGUUAGCUGAAAUUUAGCCUUUGCGUUUUCACCUCAAGUUUGGUGCUCUGUAACUUGAGAUCUGUUUAGGGUUAGCUAGUAGCUCUUGUAACAAAGAUGGAGAGAGAUUAUAGAGGAACCAUUCAUAGUAAGGAAAUACAUUGAGCCCUCAUAUGGAAUUGCGAGAAAAUAGUAUUACAAAACCCUCUGUCAGACUUGGAGUGGGCUGUUUCAGCUAACUGAAAACCGGUUCAGGGUGUUGUUUAGUCAACUUUGGAGCUCUGUGGUAAUUAAUAAAACCAGAAUUGGGUUAAGAGUUUUAUAGAAAGGUGAAAGACCAAGUGUAGGAGAACCAGUUUUAUACAAGUAGAUUGGCUUGUUGAUUUAUGGAAUUUAGAGAAAAGCCUAUUGCAAAACUCUCUGUCAGACAUGGUAAGGUGCUGUUUCAGAUCGAGGAACUGAACUUUUCAGUGUUUUGCUCUAACUUUUGUGCACCAUAGCUACUGUUCUAAGUAUUUUCAGCUUAGGGGUUUUAUACCAAAUGGGAAGGGCUAUAGUAGGAGAGUAAUAUUGGUUCACAAAGGUUGGUUGGUUGUUGAGAAGAAUUGUUAGAUAUCUGGGCUUGAACAAAGAAGAAAGCAAAAGGGAGCAGUAUUGCUAAUGAACUGGAUUCAGUUAACUAAAAACUGGAAUUUCACUGUUGGUGCUCAGUUUGGAGCUCUUUGGUGACCAAAUCAUGGGGUUUUAGGUUAGGAGUUCCAUAACAAAGUGAAAUACCAAGGUAAGGCAAACAAGUUUCAUGUGAAUAGUUGGGCUUGUUACGAUGAAGAAAUUGGGGAGAGGAAUGGAGCAAUGGAAGAUGAAUUUAGAGAACUGAAAGCAGGUUCAGUGAAUUGUGGCUGAUUCUUGGACACUAUAACUUGUAGUGCAUGCAGUUUGGAUCCUUGCUUAAGGCAUAAAUGAAGUGCUUGGUUGGUUAUGGAGGCAAGGUUUCCUAGUUUAGUUGGUGAAUUGAGUUGUGAUAUUAGAGUAUUUAGCUCUCUUAAGGUUUUAUUAGUUUUUGUGUGCACGUUUAGAAAGGUGUAAGUCUUGUGAUGCUUUUUAGUAUUUUCUUGUCAAGUUGCAUCAGCACAAGCAUUCAUGUUCAUAUCUUUACAUGUAGAAUUCCCAGAAGAAGAAGAUGAAAUUCAAGAAGUGGUUUCUGAAGAGGAGUCUGCUUCAGUGCCUGCUCAUCAAGUGAUGGGAGCCAUCUAACUGGGGUUUAAUAGAGGGAUUUAGACCUCUGUCUCUGCAACAAAGGCAAGCCCCGGUGCAUUUGCCAC